GGUAAGAUUUAGGUAUUCCUACUACAACAACGUUACAGCUAAUGACACUGAUCUCGCUACUCUGAUGAUCGACGCGGAAGAGGACGAUGUCCUAUGAGUACAGCAAGUCAUCUCUUUUGAUUUCCGCUGCUGGGCAACACUGUCUCUACGUACAGUCUUUUUAUAUUAAAUGCAUUUUUGUCACUCAAUUGUUUCUUUUAGCAGUUGGCUUGCAAGCUAGUCAUGCUCCACUAGCAUGGAAGCUUUAGUUAGUUAUCUAUCCUGACUUUCGGGUGUUAGUUUGCAGAGGUUACACUAGCAGUAGCUCGCUAAUCAAUCUAGUAAUGUCAGGGAAGGCAAAUGAGCAUUCUUUCAUGCUUCCCUCAGAAGGAUCAGCUCCCUAAAAAGGUGGCCAGGUUAGAGAAGGAGACAGCUAGGCCAAGAAGUCCAGGACAUCCCCUACAAGGACCCACUAAACCAACUGCCAGGAGAAAAGCUAAAUGUUGGCUUCACCACCGGAGCUACCCUCAACCUGCUCCUUGAGGGACAGGACAUGGAUAUCCCCAUGCCCCAAGAUCCCACCACCUUUAAAAUUGAAUUGAAUAAAUAUUUUUAUUUGUGUGAA